AUUUUUGUCUUUCUAAGAAGCAUUACUAUGUUGGUAUGAGUGCCACCAGAUACUUGCUAUGGAGAAUCAAAACUAUACAGAGAGGCAUUUCUAAUGAGGAAUAUAAUUUGAAGGCCAGAAGAGACCAGGAAAGGUGUCUACAUCUCAAAUAGGGAUACCAUCUAGAAGAGUGGAACAAGCAUUAAGCAUCUUCAAGACAUCGCUGGAAGUGCUCAGCCCUAGGAAGAAUUAUUAAUUUCAACAGUACUUCAGUUUUGAUCAGCAUGCCAUUCCAUGCAAGUCAGUCUCUUCUCUUGAUGCCUUUGACAAACUGUUUAAUAGGGUUAAUUUACCCAAAAAUGAAAAUUCUGUCAUUUACUCACCCUCAUUUUGUUUCAAACCUGUAAGACUUUCGUUCAUCUUCAAAACACCAAUGAAGAUAUUUUAAUGAAAUCUGAGAGAUUUCUGUCCCUACAUUGACAGUCCACGCAACUAGCACAUUCAAGGCCCAGAAAGGUAGUAAUGACAUUUAUUAAAGUAAUCCAUGUGACUCCACUGGUUUAACCUCAAUUUUAUGCAUGCAUUCACACAACGUCUGCUUUCAUUUCAACAAAACACUCAUCCGUCGUCGUACACUUGUCAGGGAUUUAUAUUUUCAUAAAGUGGUAAAUUAAUAAAACUGAAGUUAAAUCACCAGAGUCUCACAAGUUAAUUUAAUUAUGUCUUUAACACCUUUCUAGGCCUUGAAAGUUGUAUGUAGUAUAGGCUGUCAAUGAAAGGAUAGAAGUCUGCCAGAUUUCAUUAUAAAUAAUCUUCAUUUGUGUUCCGAAAAUGAACAAAAGUCUUAUAGGUUUGUAAUGACAUACUGGUGAGUAAUUAACAAAAAUCCUAUUUUUUUGGGGAACAAACUUAAGGUACACCUUUUUUGGCACCAUUUAUAACACUAUUCUACACAAGAUGUAAACUUUCAUUCAGA